CCUACGGGGGGCUGCAGUGAGGAAUAUUGGUCAAUGGCCGGAAGGCUGAACCAGCCAAGCCGCGUGAGGGAGGAAGGCGCAGAGCGUCGCAGACCUCUUUUGCCGGGGAGCAAAGAGAGUCACGUGUGGCUCAUUGAGAGUACCCGACGAAAAAGUAUCGGCUAACUCCGUGCCAGCAGCCGCGGUAAUACGGGGGAUGCGAGCGUUAUCCGGAUUUAUUGGGUUUAAAGGGUGCGCAGGCGGAGGUGCAAGUCAGUGGUCAAAUUGCGGGGCUCAACCCCGUACUGCCGUUGAAACUGCAGCCCUUGAGUGCGCGAGAAGUAUGCGGAAUGCGUGGUGUAGCGGUGAAAUGCAUAGAUAUCACGCAGAACUCCGAUUGCGAAGGCAGCAUACCGGCGCGCAACUGACGCUCAUGCACGAAAGCGUGGGUAUCGAACAGGAUUAGAUACCCCAGUAGUC
rnacentral:rRNA from 1 species